GGAGAGGAAGGGCUAUGUAGCAUGGCAGUGUGGUUCCCUGCCACCCCAGAGAGGGACAAGCCCCUCCAAAUACCAGAGUGGGCAGAGCCAGCAAAUCCCAUGCUUGCCCCCCAGAGGUCAAGGUGCAGGACAGGAAGUAUAAAAGCCUGGCCUCAGAGCUUACUCAGAAACUAGCUGCUAGAGAAGCCAGAUGCCUCUGGCCUAGCUCCUGGUUGGGAGACCCUAGUGACCUAUGGCAGACCGGAGGACUGGCCUGAUCUGCUGACACCUGAUGCUGACCAGAGCCCGGAGGAGUUGCCCUGCCUGCCCCUUGCUAGUUAUGCAAAGGACCCCAUGGUGCUCGACGCCCCUGAGCACACCAUCUGGACCCAGGUGGAAAGAGAGACAAAUGCUGCCAUCCCAAACCGUGACAGCUCUGUAUUGGAAUAAACUAAAUUUGCUCUCAUUCAUCCACCCUACUAUGGGUUGAUUCUUCCAAGUAUUGGAUUUCCAACAAGGAUCAUCUGUCUUCCUUGGACGAUUGGAGGCGUCUUUGCAGACAAGCUUGAUUUUCUGACAGGUUGGGCCAACCUGCCAUUCAUAUGUGUGUGUGUCUCAUACAUCUCUGUUCCCUUGGACCUGCUGGAUCCUGAGAGGUAUCUUCCAUAGAUUCCAUGAUGAGGAGGGAGAUCUGGAGUGGCAAAAAAGACUGAUUAAAGGAAAAUCUGGUUCAAUGUCUUUCAUAUGAAAUUUCCAUUCAGUUUCUCUUCUUUCUCAUGUUGAUAGCACCAACAGUUUCUUCCUCAGAUGCUCGUGAGUAAGGGAUCCUAUACCCCUUAAGUUUGCCCAAUUUAUUCUGAGCUGAAGAACAAGAAUCAAACAGAGAUGACUUGGAAAAAACUCCAGAUUGAAUGAAAAAGUGACACUCAUCCAUGGGGCCUGAUCUUGCAUAGUUUGAACACCCUACACUCCCAUUGAUUUCAAUAGGAAUAAUGUAGGAUUGACUCCCAUAAGAAAAUUUGGAUAGAAAAUCUGAGGGAAAACCUUUGUCACCUGGAUAUUUAAUCUGUUUUAAAUUAAUUAAACCAAUUCUACAUUUAUAUUGCAAAAGUAACAUCUGCUAUGAUUUCAAUUGCAGAAAGUAAAUAUUUCUGCAGCUGAAGAAAGUUUCAGUAAUAGAGAUGAUUGAAACAUUCACAUGUGUACUACAUAUUAGAAAUAUUAAUCUCAACAUAAGAGAAACUGAUGUCAAGAGAAGUUAAUUCUUGGAAUUUUAUUAGCACAGCCUGAAAGAGUCAAAACUUAUUUAAGAUGAUAUUUAUAUAACAGGUCCCACUGAAAUCAAUGGGAGUUCUGAGAUUAAUACUGAAGUAAAGCAGGGUCAGGCCCUAAAGGUCCAUGCUUUCAGUGUCAUGAUACAUGUCAAGAGCUUUAAUCACUCUUGCUUGGCGAAUAAAUCUUAUCUGAUUCACAGAUUUUAUGAAAGCAUUAAGCAAAGUUGGGGAAAACAGGUAGCACAAAUCUUUGCUUCUAAACGACCUGUGAAAAAUCAUUUUAUGAAAUAAAGUGGAUUUUUCUAAUGCAGCUUUUUGAGGCUGGUGAAAUAAUGAGUCAUUUUAUCUGGAAACUAGACUUGUUGAUAUUUAUUUUUUAGCAGUCAUUCACAUCUAUUUCUUGGUAAUGCCUUAUUAGCAAGAUAGUUAUCUUAAAGACUUUUUUAUUUUGAGACUUGGCUUUACUAUACAUCAGUGGAAGCAAUCUUUGCAACUUUGGUCACAUAAUAGUUGUUCAUCUACUUUAAGGUCUGAUUCCUGGUACGGUGUGCCCUAUGGCUAUUCUUGAAAGGUAUGUCAAUGCCUAAAAAUGUAGAUGAGCACCUAGUAGGAUUUACAUCAGCUCCUAUGCUGGUUAGACACCUAACUUGCAUUCAUUGAGACAAAGGGGGAAAAAAGUGAGAAUGAGUCUAUAGCUUCGUGUUUAGAGCACUCACCUGCUUUACUUAAUAUUUAUUUAUUUAUACACAGUACAACAGAUUCAACAGGAGAGACUGAAAGAGCCCUACCCUAGAAUAUUUGUUACCCAGGUAGUUAGGACACUCUCCUUGCAGGGGUGAGCCCCAAGUUUAAAUCCUUGUUCCACAUCAUGCAGUGAGGUGACCUGAACCUAGAGGUUUCACGGGCUAAUUGUAUGUUCUAUCCAGUCAUCUGAAACAUAUAAGAAGGGCAUCUCUUCCAGCUGUUAGGCACACUCUGAGUAUAUCUACCUGAUGGGUGCCCCAUAGGCAAGAUAGGCAGGGAUGCCUAGUUUGAGGAUCCCAUUGGGGCUUCAGUGUGUGUUAGUCUUCCAGGUGCCUCGAGUGAGGAGGCUGCACACAUUUUGCUGGCAGAUUUUUAGGUGCCAUGGGGACUUUAAUGGCAGAAAUUUAGGACUUUAGGUAGAGUUAGGCAGCAGCUGAGUGGGGUUUUGGGGGAUAUCAAUGAUACUAUGGUCUUUUUGAGGCAGUAUCCUUAGGGGCCUAACUCACUUAGGUACUUUUGAAAAUCCCACUAAGCCAACUACAUAUUAAGUCCCUAAAUACCUGUAAAAUAUAGCCCUUGUUUUCUUCCCCUUUUGCAUUCAUGGAACUCUUCUUUGUUCACUGAAAUGUUCUUUAGAAUAUUUAUGUUGUGUUUUUUGUCUCUGAUCCCAACACCAGCUGGUUAGAAAAUUGACCAGGUGCACUCUCUACCAUCUCCUCUCUAACACUUAUUAAACAAGUGAGAAAAUAUAAUUGGGACAUUCUCUGUUUCUCACUUCAUAAGGUUAUACAUCUUCUGGAAUAGUAAUGAGUGCAUUUUAAUAUGGUUGUUUUAUCAGACCAAUAAAAUAAUGUAAAAAACCCC